UUAUGCACAGACUUCUUGAGGGCUCUCUUCCUUCUCCAGAGACAGAAUGAUCUGACACAAUAUCUGUCACCAUAUCUCGAGAGAGGUAGAUUUAACUGUGUUCAGCUGCUGAAAAACUUGAAAGCUCAUUGAGAGGAAGGAUAGUGAUAGUGCCUCGAAGUCGUGGCAGUCACUUCUUGCUGCUGAGGUUGCACACAGGCUUAGAGAACACAGAAACCUGCUAAUGAUUAAAGUUGUGAUUUGCAAGCUAAGAGCAAUCCCUAAGAGCUUUUAGGGAUGUCAGACUAACUCCAACAGAUACAGUAAGAAACUUGAUCUUUUGGGAAAGUGUUUAUUUACAGGAACAAUAUUUGUUCAGAAACUUGUUCUCUUGCUAGGAAGAAGUUUUAGGAGAUUGCUGCAAAUAUUUUAAGAGCAAGCUCUAAUGAGUGAAUGUUCACCCUGGAGAUUUUUCUAAGAUGUUCAACAAACUAUUACAGUUACUAGUAGAGUCAAUAUUAAACAGCAGUGAAACUCCUCUGACAUCUCCACCACUGACUCUUUACGUGGCAAGAAGUGUAAUGAGAUGUUGCAGUAUGCUAUAAAGAAGUCCCGAAGCGAAUUGGCAUUGUGGCCCAAUCUUUUUCCCUCUGUGAACUCAAGUCACUUUAAGUCAAGCAUCAGACGAUGUGUUCUUGAUGUUCUGCUGUGAGCACACCACAGGAUGCUGCUUCAUCAAAUGCAAGUAAAGUCCAGGAAGGAGGAGAACUCUGUGCCCAUGUGAAGGUUAACUUGCUCACUGCUUGGGCUGGAUACGAGGUUUCCCUCCUGCUCAGUAGACGCAAAAACCUGUGGUGGCCCAAAGCCAGCACUGUUGCCAUGAAAUGUGCAAUAUCCAGCUCUCUUUACAAGGCUGUGGUGAGGUUUCUCCAGAGCCUUCUCUUCUCCGGUUUGAACAACUCCAGGUAUCUGGACACCAGAAGAGAAGCAAAACCUCAGUCGUGCUCCUGCACUGUACUGAUUUCCAGUGGUGCGGUGGCUGCACUUCCAGGUCCAGGAGCAGCAGAGGAGCAGCCCUCUGGUGGCUUCAGCAGCACCCUCACUCAAGGGGCUGCAGGUGGGACCACGUCUGGCUGGAGAAAGCUGGGCACAAGGGUGGGGUGGUCCUGUGGGUGGGGGCCACCCCGCCCUGCUGCCCACCGACAUACUCCUCUCACCUGGCAGGGUGUGCAGGGCAGGCAGGACCGACCGCAUCGCCCCAUUUUCUCACCCCAAAGUGAAGCAGUAAAAAGUAAAAAGUGAAGCAGGAAUUUCAGCGUGUAUCCAGCUCCUUGCUCUGAGUGAUGAUGUGUACAUAUAUGUGUUUUGUCAUUGUUAUUGUUGUUUUUGAAGGAGAAGAGAAGGGAAUUUGGAAUUAACUCUGUGAAUUGCCAGCCUCAGAUUAGCCACGUGUCAAUUCCUGAUUGUAAUCUUGUGUAUAAAUGUAUUUUAUUCAUGAUAAAUGGGAUUUAACCAUAAAAUUAGCUUUUUGAUGUACAUAAUUUAAAAAAAUAGUCUGGAUGGUACAUCUGAAAUUAUGUUUUGACAUGCUCUUGGCGUAGUGAUGAAGAAAAAACAGCCAAAGAGCUGAGAAAAAUGUUGCAGUGAAGUUCAGCUUACAUGUGAGAGCACUGGUGGGAACUCCCUUGUAUUCAGCUCGCUGGUGCUUCACUGUGGCAUUGGUGUAUGAUCGUAAUGGGCAUCUCUGUAGACAUUGUAGUCAGGAAAAAAAAGGUGAGAACCUGUUGGAUGUGUUACAUUGACCAGUGCAACUGUCUCACAGCACUCAGCAUUUCUUGGUCAAGGCUGUGAAGGAUUUCAGAUAUUUUCCACCUUUAUCACACUUUAAGCGUACACUUCAUGACUCUGAUGACAGUCUCCUUGUUGAUGUAUCAUUGCAAUCAAAAAGCCAUUGUUAGAAAAACGACUAUUUCAAUGCCUAUUUUGUUCCCUUGUAGAGCAGAGCUGGUCUCAGUGAUUUGGCUCUCCUGGACAGUAAUUAAUUCAAAUAAAUGUAAAUCACCUUUUUGCA